rnacentral:rRNA from 1 species
AUUGAACGCUGGCGGCAUGCCUAACACAUGCAAGUCGAACGAGUGGCGGACGGGUGAGUAAUGUCUGGGAAACUGCCCGUUGGAGGGGGAUAACUACUGGAAACGGUAGCUAAUACCGCAUACCAUCAGAUGUGUCCAUCUGGGAUUAGCGAGUUGGUGGGGUAACGGUUCACCAAGGCGACGACCCCUAGCUGGUCUGAGGGGAUGACCAGCAACACUGCUACUGGGACACUGUGCCAACUCCUAAGGGAGGCAGCAGUGAGGAAUAUUGCAGAAUGAGCGCAAGCCUGAUGCAGGCAAGCCGCGUGUAUGAAGAAGGCCUUCGGGUUGUAAAGUACGUUCAGCGGGGAGGCGUUACCCGCAGAAGAAGCACCGGCUAACUCCGUGCCAGCAGCCGCGGUAAUAC